rnacentral:rRNA from 1 species
GAUGAACGCUAGCGAUAGGCUUAACACAUGCAAGUCGAGGGGCAGCAUGGUCUUAGCUUGCUAAGACUGAUGGCGACCGGCGCACGGGUGCGUAACGCGUAUGCAACUUGCCUCACAGAGGGGGAUAACCCGUCGAAAGACGGACUAAUACCGCGUACACUCUAUUUUGGGCAUCCAAGGUAGAGGAAAUGAAAUUCGCUGUGAGAUAGGCAUGCGUCCCAUUAGCUAGUUGGUGAGGUAACGGCUCACCAAGGCGACGAUGGGUAGGGGAACUGAGAGGUUGAACCCCCACACUGGUACUGAGACACGGACCAGACUCCUACGGGAGGCAGCAGUGAGGAAUAGUGGGCAAUGGGCGAGGGCCUGAACCAGCCAAGUCGCGUGAAGGAGGACUGUCUUAUGGAUUGUAAACUUCUUUUGUAGGGGAAUAAAGAGGGGCACGUGUGCCCCAGUGAAUGUACCCGACGAAUAAGCAUCGGCUAACUCCGUG